AUUGAACGCUGGCGGCAGGCUUGACACAUGCAAGUCGAGCGGAGCGAGGGUGCUUGCACCUUAGCUUAGCGGCGGACGGGUGAGUAAUGCUUAGGAAUCUGCCUAUUAGUGGGGGACAACAUUCCGAAAGGAAUGCUAAUACCGCAUACGCCCUACGGGGGAAAGCAGGGGAUCUUCGGACCUUGCGCUAAUAGAUGAGCCUAAGUCGGAUUAGCUAGUUGGUGGGGUAAAGGCCUACCAAGGCGACGAUCUGUAGCGGGUCUGAGAGGAUGAUCCGCCACACUGGGACUGAGACACGGCCCAGACUCCUACGGGAGGCAGCAGUGGGGAAUAUUGGACAAUGGGGGGAACCCUGAUCCAGCCAUGCCGCGUGUGUGAAGAAGGCCUUUUGGUUGUAAAGCACUUUAAGCGAGGAGGAGGCUACCGAGAUUAAUACUCUUGGAUAGUGGACGUUACUCGCAGAAUAAGCACCGGCUAACUCUGUGCCAGCAGCCGCGGUAA
rnacentral:rRNA from 1 species